CCUUGGAGGGUGCAGAUCCCGUCCCUGCUGCAGUACCUUGAAGGAAAAGAUGAGAGCUCCCUGGACUGUGCAGAAUGGGAGGGCCUCCUGCUGAAGUUCCUGAGAACAUCCCUAGAGACAAU